GUAGUUUGAUCCUGGCUCAGGAUGAACGCUAGCUACAGGCUUAACACAUGCAAGUCGAGGGGAAACGACAUCGAAAGCUUGCUUUUGAUGGGCGUCGACCGGCGCACGGGUGAGUAACGCGUAUCCAACCUGCCCACCACUUGGGGAUAACCUUGCGAAAGUAAGACUAAUACCCAAUGACGUCUCUAGAAGACAUCUGAAAGAGAUUAAAGAUUAUCGGUGAUGGAUGGGGAUGCGUCUGAUUAGCUUGUUGGCGGGGUAACGGCCGCCAAGGCUACGAUCAGUAGGGGUUCUGAGAGGAAGGUCCCCCACAUUGGAACUGAGACACGGUCCAAACUCCUACGGGAGGCGA
rnacentral:rRNA from 1 species